rnacentral:tRNA from 1 species
GCCUUCGUGGUGUAACGGUAGCACGCUGGAUCGGUAUUCCAGAGGUCCGUGGUUCGAUUCCCGGCGAAGGCG